CAUGAGUUAUGUCAUGUUAUCGACAUGUGAAUUCAUAGCAUGUCAGAAGGCAGACCCGGAGAACUGAAACAUCUUAGUACCCGGAGGAAGAGAAAGAAAAAUCGAUUCCCUGAGUAGCGGCGAGCGAAACGGGAAGAGCCCAAACCAACAAGCUUGCUUGUUGGGGUUGUAGGACACUCUAUACGGAGUUACAAAAGAACAUGUUAGACGAAUCAUCUGGAAAGAUGAAUCAAAGAAGGUAAUAAUCCUGUAGUCGAAAACAUAUUCUCUCUUGAGUGGAUCCUGAGUACGACGGAGCACGUGAAAUUCCGUCGGAAUCUGGGAGGACCAUCUCCUAAGGCUAAAUACUCUCUAGUGACCGAUAGUGAACCAGUACCGUGAGGGAAAGGUGAAAAGUACCCCGGAAGGGGAGUGAAAGAGAACUUGAAACCGUGUGCUUACAAGUAGUCAGAGCCCGUUAAUGGGUGAUGGCGUGCCUUUUGUAGAAUGAACCGGCGAGUUACGAUCUGAUGCAAGGUUAAGCAGCAAAUGUGGAGCCGCAGCGAAAGCGAGUCUGAAUAGGGCGUUGAGUAUUUGGUCGUAGACCCGAAACCAGGUGAUCUACCCUUGGUCAGGUUGAAGUUCAGGUAACACUGAAUGGAGGACCGAACCGACUUACGUUGAAAAGUGAGCGGAUGAACUGAGGGUAGCGGAGAAAUUCCAAUCGAACUUGGAGAUAGCUGGUUCUCUCCGAAAUAGCUUUAGGGCUAGCCUCAAGUGAUGAUUAUUGGAGGUAGAGCACUGUUUGGACGAGGGGCCCCUCUCGGGUUACCGAAUUCAGACAAACUCCGAAUGCCAAUUAAUUUAACUUGGGAGUCAGAACAUGGGUGAUAAGGUCCGUGUUCGAAAGGGAAACAGCCCAGACCACCAGCUAAGGUCCCAAAAUAUAUGUUAAGUGGAAAAGGAUGUGGCGUUGCCCAGACAACUAGGAUGUUGGCUUAGAAGCAGCCAUCAUUUAAAGAGUGCGUAAUAGCUCACUAGUCGAGUGACACUGCGCCGAAAAUGUACCGGGGCUAAACAUAUUACCGAAGCUGUGGAUUGUCCUUUGGACAAUGGUAGGAGAGCGUUCUAAGGGCGUCGAAGCAUGAUCGCAAGGACAUGUGGAGCGCUUAGAAGUGAGAAUGCCGGUGUGAGUAGCGAAAGACGGGUGAGAA
rnacentral:rRNA from 1 species